rnacentral:rRNA from 1 species
GGUUAAGCGACUAAGCGUACACGGUGGAUGCCCUGGCAGUCAGAGGCGAUGAAGGACGUGCUAAUCUGCGAAAAGCGUCGGUAAGGUGAUAUGAACCGUUAUAACCGGCGAUGUCCGAAUGGGGAAACCCAGUGUGAUUCGUCACACUAUCGUUAACUGAAUACAUAGGUUAACGAGGCGAACCGGGGGAACUGAAACAUCUAAGUACCCCGAGGAAAAGAAAUCAACCGAGAUUCCCCCAGUAGCGGCGAGCGAACGGGGAGCAGCCCAGAGUCUGAAUCAGCUUGUGUGUUAGUGGAACGGUCUGGAAAGUCCGACGGUACAGGGUGAUAGUCCCGUACACCAAAAUGCACAGGCUGUGAACUCGAAGAGUAGGGCGGGACACGUGGUAUCCUGUCUGAAUAUGGGGGGACCAUCCUCCAAGGCUAAAUACUCCUGACUGACCGAUAGUGAACCAGUACCGUGAGGGAAAGGCGAAAAGAACCCCGGCGAGGGGAGUGAAAAAGAACCUGAAACCGUGUACGUACAAGCAGUGGGAGCACCUUCGGGUGUGACUGCGUACCUUUUGUAUAAUGGGUCAGCGACUUAUAUUCUGUAGCAAGGUUAACCGUAUAGGGGAGCCGCAGGGAAACCGAGUCUUAACUGGGCGUUAAGUUGCAGGGUAUAGACCCGAAACCCGGUGAUCUAGCCAUGGGCAGGUUGAAGGUUGGGUAACACUAACUGGAGGACCGAACCGACUAAUGUUGAAAAAUUAGCGGAUGACUUGUGGCUGGGGGUGAAAGGCCAAUCAAACCGGGAGAUAGCUGGUUCUCCCCGAAAGCUAUUUAGGUAGCGCCUCGUGAAUUCAUCUUCGGGGGUAGAGCACUGUUUCGGCUAGGGGGUCAUCCCGACUUACCAACCCGAUGCAAACUACGAAUACCGAAGAAUGUUAUCACGGGAGACACACGGCGGGUGCUAACGUCCGUCGUGAAGAGGGAAACAACCCAGACCGCCAGCUAAGGUCCCAAAGUCAUGGUUAAGUGGGAAACGAUGUGGGAAGGCACAGACAGCCAGGAUGUUGGCUUAGAAGCAGCCAUCAUUUAAAGAAAGCGUAAUAGCUCACUGGUCGAGUCGGCCUGCGCGGAAGAUGUAACGGGGCUAAACCAUGCACCGAAGCUGCGGCAGCGACACUAUGUGUUGUUGGGUAGGGGAGCGUUCUGUAAGCCUGCGAAGGUGUGCUGUGAGGCAUGCUGGAGGUAUCAGAAGUGCGAAUGCUGACAUAAGUAACGAUAAAGCGGGUGAAAAGCCCGCUCGCCGGAAGACCAAGGGUUCCUGUCCAACGUUAAUCGGGGCAGGGUGAGUCGACCCCUAAGGCGAGGCCGAAAGGCGUAGUCGAUGGGAAACAGGUUAAUAUUCCUGUACUUGGUGUUACUGCGAAGGGGGGACGGAGAAGGCUAUGUUAGCCGGGCGACGGUUGUCCCGGUUUAAGCAUGUAGGCUGGUUGUCCAGGCAAAUCCGGAUAAUCAAGGCUGAGGUGUGAUGACGAGGCACUACGGUGCUGAAGUAACAAAUGCCCUGCUUCCAGGAAAAGCCUCUAAGCAUCAGGUAACAUCAAAUCGUACCCCAAACCGACACAGGUGGUCAGGUAGAGAAUACCAAGGCGCUUGAGAGAACUCGGGUGAAGGAACUAGGCAAAAUGGUGCCGUAACUUCGGGAGAAGGCACGCUGGUGUGUAGGUGAAGUCCCUGCGGAUGGAGCUGAGACCAGUCGAAGAUACCAGCUGGCUGCAACUGUUUAUUAAAAACACAGCACUGUGCAAACACGAAAGUGGACGUAUACGGUGUGACGCCUGCCCGGUGCCGGAAGGUUAAUUGAUGGGGUUAUCCGUAAGGAGAAGCUCUUGAUCGAAGCCCCGGUAAACGGCGGCCGUAACUAUAACGGUCCUAAGGUAGCGAAAUUCCUUGUCGGGUAAGUUCCGACCUGCACGAAUGGCGUAAUGAUGGCCAGGCUGUCUCCACCCGAGACUCAGUGAAAUUGAACUCGCUGUGAAGAUGCAGUGUACCCGCGGCAAGACGGAAAGACCCCGUGAACCUUUACUAUAGCUUGACACUGAACAUUGAGCCUUGAUGUGUAGGAUAGGUGGGAGGCUUUGAAGCGUGGACGCCAGUCUGCGUGGAGCCAACCUUGAAAUACCACCCUUUAAUGUUUGAUGUUCUAACGUUGGCCCCUGACCGGGGUUGCGGACAGUGUCUGGUGGGUAGUUUGACUGGGGCGGUCUCCUCCCAAAGCGUAACGGAGGAGCACGAAGGUUAGCUAAUCCUGGUCGGACAUCAGGAGGUUAGUGCAAUGGCAUAAGCUAGCUUGACUGCGAGCGUGACGGCGCGAGCAGGUGCGAAAGCAGGUCAUAGUGAUCCGGUGGUUCUGAAUGGAAGGGCCAUCGCUCAACGGAUAAAAGGUACUCCGGGGAUAACAGGCUGAUACCGCCCAAGAGUUCAUAUCGACGGCGGUGUUUGGCACCUCGAUGUCGGCUCAUCACAUCCUGGGGCUGAAGUAGGUCCCAAGGGUAUGGCUGUUCGCCAUUUAAAGUGGUACGCGAGCUGGGUUUAGAACGUCGUGAGACAGUUCGGUCCCUAUCUGCCGUGGGCGCUGGAGAAUUGAGGGGGGCUGCUCCUAGUACGAGAGGACCGGAGUGGACGCAUCACUGGUGUUCGGGUUGUCAUGCCAAUGGCACUGCCCGGUAGCUAAAUGCGGAAGAGAUAAGUGCUGAAAGCAUCUAAGCACGAAACUUGCCCCGAGAUGAGUUCUCCCUGAGACUUUAAGUCUCCUGAAGGAACGUU